CUUUUAACCGGGAAGGAAAUGCAGAAGUUCACGAUCUGUGACUUUGAGAAACCGAAGCACAGAGCCGAGCAGCCUGUAUAAAGACGGAGGGACAGGACACAACCUACUUUGCCGACAGCAGCCCUCUCCUCCACUGGCCCCGCUUGGCCCCAGGAAGAGCCAUUCUCUGACUUGGACUGGCCCCUGGCCUGCUUGAGGCUUGAGCUCCCUCCACAUGCCCCAGCCUCAUCAAAGUCUGCCUUCUACUGUUCACUGCCUAAAACUGAUGUGACUGUUAAUCUCCAAGCUUCCAGAAGGAAAGAAAGAAACCUGGUUUUCUCUAGGCUGAGAGGGCUCAGUGCAAAGAAACAAUGAUCAGCCAUUUAAGACUCACAUGUGAAACUCAGAUUGUCAGGAGGAAGUCUGUUGGCAGGAAGCCCAGGUCAAGAGCGGACAUGAUACGGGACAGGAGGAAAAUGGAACUUCUUGCCACAGAACCAGGCCUGAGCCCACCACUGAGUGUCGUCUGUGGCAGGCGGACCGCAGCCUCAGGUCCUUCAUGUGGAGACUGGAAAUGCAGAGAAGAAACUCGGGAAGCCACAAAGGUCUGGUAUGCUCUAGCCUCAUACAUUCUGGCAGAACUCUGGAGACCCAGAGUAGGAUUUCUCAGAAGCCCACUGUGAAUGACAAUUCAUAUGUAUCUUCAUUGCUUCUCCCAUUAUUUGAAUUACUGCUGUGGUACCAGCUGAUACAGCAUUCGGCAAGGAACUGGAGGCUACAAAAAUUCUUGCCCCCUUGGAGCUUGCUCUGACAUUUUGUUUAUCCCUGCGUCUCUAGCUCACAGCAUAGGGUCAGGCACAUAGAGAGUGCUCAGUAAACACUAAAUGAAGCAACUGGGAGAAGUGGCAUCUGUCAGAACUAACUGGCAAGAGGCCAGCUUUGUGGUUUUGAACUAGUUGGCUACAUUUGCUUAAUGGGGUAAGAGUUCUCUAGAGCACUACUUGUAGCAACUGAAUUUGGGAACCACCACCAUAACUGUACUUUAAUAACAGAGGAGCCUGGUAGGCUGCAGUCCAUG